CCAGGCUGCAGUGCAGUGGCACGAUCUCGGCUCACUACAACCUCCACCUCCCAGGUUUAAGCGAUUCUCCUGCCUCACCCUCCUGAGUAGCUGGGAUUACAGAGUGAAGCCAAAGGCACAGGAAGCACAGCUGGAAUGGGGACAUAGGAACGCGGGGGCUCCCAUGAGUUGACCGGACAACUGAGAGAUGGCAACCUAGACCUGGGGGACAAAAUAUGCUAUGUUUUCGUGAAUCCAUGAUUCGACCUGAAGAAGAAGGAAAGAACUGGACAUCCAGAUGAGUACAUUGAUAUCGAAGAAAAAAAGAGGAGGGAGCACACAGGUGAGCAGGUGCAGGAACCAGCCGGACAAUUUGCCGCCAGCAGGAAUGAACUCCAAGCAGGCCCCACUGCAGUAUCCAGGUCGGGGUGCCUGUGACUUCUGAAGCCACAGAGGAGCUAGUCCAUCAGGCUCUAAAUUUUUAAACGUGUAAGUUUCAGAAUCACAGAAAUCUUAGAAGAUAUUGAACAGCUAAAGCUUUGAAGCAACGAGACUUUAGAUCCUCUCUCCUCAUUCCUAUUUUCCUCAUCAUAUCAACCUUUUUAAGAAGCAGAAGAAUGAUGAAAGAGAUGGGGCCAACACUCUCAGAGGUGGGUUGUGGCAAAGCGUAAUGUAGAAUUUAGAUUCUAUAUCUCUCAGCCCCUCUGCUCAUUCCACCUCAUCUGGCUUCAAUCCCAGCUUCUUGUUCUUGUUUUAUUUCCCUUCUGCUGUUUCUUUCUUUGAGUUGCAUUUCUGGUGCCAGGUGAGAAAAACAGCUGAGCACUGUGGAGGCGGAAGAUACAGAGAGCUCCAUUGCAGCCACAGUGAUGGAUGGCAUCGAUAGAGAAAAUCCCACAAAAGAGCUUGACUUUUCUCAUGAAUCUGCAGUUUCUUCCGAAAAAGUGAAAUUUUAUCAAAUGGUAAAGUAAGACAACUGUUUCCUCCAGCAGUGACUUCUAUAUAGGUCAAAAUGACACUGAAUCGGACCUGAGACAAAUUCCUCAUAGAAUAGGUCUUAGUUAAAUUCUGAUUUCAGUUUUUUAGUCUUUAGAAUAGAGAUUAGUUAUGUAUGAUUAGUACUUUUAAAAGUUGUCUACAUCUCAAUAUCUGGGAGGAUGUGAAAAGAUCAUUGAUUCACUUGUCAGCAAUUAUUUACUGCCUAUUAUGUGCUAGGCACAUUGCUGGGCUCUAACAUUGUUAAUAUGUGGGCCACAGAGCACUAUAGCUAAAUUCUGGUGUAUGCGCCUCCGAGUUCUGGGAAAUAUUUCUUAUUGGAUUGACAUUUCUUAAGAGGAAAAUGGCACACAAUUAUUAACUAUCAUUAAGUAUUGUUGCUAAAGCCAAUAUCUGAACAUCUGCAAGAUGAACAUCUGCAAGAUGACUGGCACGUGACAAGGACAUCAGUGAUGCUUCAUGGUUUCUGGGUAAUGUCUCAGAGGACUUAUAGAUGAUCAUAUCUAGAGAUCGCUUAUCAACUUAGUGGAAAUAUUGACAGAAGCAUGAUGAAAAAUAUUGCAUAUAUUUCUUAAAAUGAAGUUAUGUAGAAACAACAGUGAACUCUAAAUGAUAAACAGUAACUCUAGUUUUUACAUGUUGACAUUUCAAAAGCAACCUAUUUGUUUAAACUUGUCUCAUUUGAGCCUUCUAGCACAUUUAACUCAAGUUGAAAAUAUCCUAACAGCCAAAGAAACAUUAAUCAAGAGGGCUAAUUUAUCUUGUGGACAAGUCUGACCCUGCUAUUUGAUGUACUAACAAUUCUCUAUAAGGAUAGUUGCUACACAAUAUCCAUUAUGGCAGAAACCUGGCUACCAGAACCAAUUUGCUCAUUUGAAUAAGAUUUCAGAGCCUGAAAUCAUCUCGCCUGACCUAUACUUUUUUUUAAUUACACAGUUGAGACCCAGAAAAGUUAUCUGUAGACUUCAGCCUUUGCAAAAAAAUGGAAGGUGUGUAUUUUCUAAGAAGGUGGUUGGGUUAGCAAACACACACCAUAGAUACAAAUUGAGUUCUUGCUUUUUGUGCUUUCCUUCUUUCUCUUUCUUUUCUCUUCCUCUAUCUCCAUCUCUCUCUCCUUGUGUCCUUCUCCUCUCCUUUCUUUCCAUCAUAGCUUGUACCUUGUUUCAAAAAUAACUUUUUGGCUUAUAUUUCAGUAGAACAGUAUGAAAAUGGUAUCAGGACAACAAAAUAUAUAAAUGCAAAACACUACAGUUUGUGUCACCUAGGGUAGUUACAAAUGUUACUAGAAAGAGAUUUUCUAUCAUUUAUGGCUAUUAUUUAAGAUUGCAUUUUGACAUUUUUUUCAAAUGCUAACAGCUUGCAAACCAUUACUGUGUCAAUAAUAUAAGCUGAAUUUUAAAACACAGAAAAGAAAAAAAGGGGGCAUUCACUGAGUUCUUUGGAUCUCCCUUUAAAGCAAAAAUAGACAAGAAAUAAAGCAAGGCAGAAACUUCCUACAAAUUUAUAAGCAAUUGGGGUCAGACUUUUAUUAAUGAUACAUAAGUGAGGUAUUUCAGAAUAUUUUUAUAAAACAGAGAAAACAAAUUUUGAGACAUGAAUUCAAAAGCCUCCUGAAAAAAUAAAACCAGAUUAUUUUGGUUUAGCUAUCCACUCCUCUGCUAAUACACACUACCAGCCCUACGCUGUAUCUUUUCCUUCCUUCCUUCCUUCCUUCCUUCCUUCCUUCUUUCCUUCCUUCCUUCCUUCCUUCUUUCCUUUCAUUCCUCCUCUCUCAAUUUCUUGCUGUCACUCUUAUUCUCCUUAUAGUAGGAGAUUUUAAGCUUUGUAUCAUUCUGUACUUCAUACAGAAGCUGAGCAUUAUAUAAAUCUGUGAAAUGCAGUUGAUAAAUAUCAGCAAGAUCCUUAGAGGUAACAAGAUGGAAUCAGUUCAUCCCAAACACUUCAAUGUCCAGCUUCUCAGGAAAAUAAUUGGGUUCUGACUUUGCAAAUGAGCACCAUCCCUAGUUAUAAUUGACUACUUCUUCCUAGCAUAGAUAAGCAGUCCAAGAAUUUGAGAUGAUGCUCAGCAUAUGAGUGUUUCUUUGCCUAUAGCACUAGGAAAGAAAUUAUAAGGCUUGGAAGUUAUGACCCUUAAUUUAUAGACCCAGGCACCAAGUUAAGAGGUCAGCCACCUUGGAGUUAUUAAAAUCAAAUAUAUCAUUAAGGCAAUCUCAUACUCUUCCAACAGGUAACUUUAGUUGGCCCUGGAGAAAGAGAGAAGGUGGGAAAGAGAAAAUGGAAAAGCAAAAGGAAGGAAUAUUAGCAAAGAUAGCAUAGGGGCACAGCACAAAUUGAAAUUAAAAUUCCCAAUUAAUGCACAGGCAUGAUGUUAGAGUAUAUAUGAAAGAGAUAAAUUGGAUUAUACAUACUCUCACUGAAAUUUAACACCCUCAAUCAGAAGUACCUCUUCUUACCCCUUUGACAUUUUCUACAUUUCAUAGUUUGCUAUUCUCUUGGUUUUUCCACUUCAUUAUAAUGUUUGAGGCAUCUUUUUUGUUUAAAAAAAGAGAAAAGUAUCUUUGAACUUCACCUUGAGCUUUUCAUAGGAAAAAUAAGAGAGAACUCAAUGGAUAUGCUAAAUAAGCACUGCUGGAGUGAGCAGCUUAAGGCUGUGCCCCCAAACUUCAACUGCAUAAGCCUUUCUUCAGAUAAAUCACAAAUUAAUGCAGUUCUUUCUCAAGUGGAUAAGCUUAUGUCUAUAUUUUAAUGUUAUAUAUAUUUUCUUUACCUUUAUGAAUUCGUUCUCUUUUUUAAAACAGAAUAGAGUUUUUAAUUCAUUAACUUGAUAAACUUUUAAAAAUCAUUUCUGAGUCUGGAUCCCCGAUGAGCUAAUUCUCAAUGCAAACAUGCUUUUCCUAAACCCUUUUAUUGAAGAUUCAGGAAUGUCUAUGCAAGUGACACACUUUAGGGAGAGACAAGUCUCAGUUGCAAGCCUUGCCUUUUAUUAAUUAUUUGAAUUUAGAUAUGUUAUUUAACUUUGUUAGGUACAUUUUGUUCUCAUCUAUAAUAUGUAGUAUUAAAUCAGCUCACCUCAUGGUGUUGCUAUAAAGACUAACAAGGCAGCACCUCCGCAUAGCAGUCAUUAAAACCAUAACCAGGCUUUCUAACCAGCUAACUUGUUGCACACAUUUGAUUCUAGUGCAAUAAUCUCAAAUGGAGGUCCUCAGAGAUAGCCUGAUGGGAGUUGGAUUCAUAGAUCUCAGAAGGGUGAGAUGGAUUCUUCUGCUAGGAUCUGCUAGAGAAAUUGCUACCAUGCAGCCCAAGGCUUACCUAUUUUAUAAAACAAGAAACUAUUAGGCAAACAUUAGCACUUCAAGCUUUUCUAAUAUGUCAGAGAAGGAGACAAGUUUUUACUUCUUGACUUUAAGUGACCUACCCCAUUUUUCCAUCUCCAUAUCACAUUCCUCAGAGUCUCAGUCUCUGUGUUAUGUUGGCUUCUUUGCCUGGAAAUUAAUAAAAAAGAACAUAUCAUUAAACUCAGCCUUCAAACUCCUUGAUCUGUCUUCCUUUACUCAACAAACAUUAGCUACCUACCACCCAUCUGUACUCUGUAGAAUUGAAUAGUCUGUAUAAGUUGUGUUUGGGCUUUAUGACAUACAAUGUAUUUAGGGAAAAACUGUCUUUUAAUAGGACCCUUCUUUGGAUGGAGUCCUAGUGUCAGUGAAGAUUCAGUCCAUGUUAGUACCCCAAGUAGGCUAGUAGUCUGGUACCCUUUAAACUUAUAUUCCAUUAAUACUUUAACAUUUAUUUAUAGGAAAAGAUACACGGUGUGUGGAGUAUGAGGAGAGGUUAGCAAAGAAAGACCAUUAUUUAUGGCUUUCAGGCUUUCUUUUAUUAUGCUGAGAAACUCAGCUCAGGUUCCAAAAGUUCAAACUCACUACAAAUCAUAAACGUGGAGCUGGUCAUACCUAGUCUCCUCAGAAGAAAGUUUUAACAGUCCUUGUUCUCUGAAUGUAAUUUGGGUUGUCACUAACAUCCUCCCAAAAUAAGAAGCUUAUCAAAAUAGUCCUUCUAAUCAUUUAAGAGUAUUCUUGAGAGGUCAAUUUUGUUACAUUUCCAGUAUUUAUUUGUGUGUGUCUCUAUAAGAGAUCUGCCAUGUUUUAAAGUAAAAUAUAUUGCCAUCAAAUGUUUUUGACUGUUUGACUAGUUGAUCACUCUUAUUAGCUGUGUUUGUAAUAUUAUUAAGACAUUAGUUGCUUUUUGCAAUAAUACAAAAUUAAGAGCUGCCAACAUUUCCUUGCUCAGUACCUAAGCCCUUAGAUCCUCACAGCAAUCAGAAAUGAAUUAGGAGAAGUGUUUUAGUUACUCUUGUAAUUCAAGGCCUUUACAUUCAAUCAGAAAGCCUUACACAGUCACCCUGUUGGCCAAUUCAGAAUAUUUUGAGAACAGUUCUCCAUUCUUUUACUCCUAUCAGAAUCUCCCAUUUUGCACCUUCCAAUAUUACAAAACUUUAAGAUACAACACAGUUAAGGGGAGGCAUGCAGUGUCCCAUUUUACUAUGGGUGUUAAAGUCUGAAGGAUUGAAAGUCAGAAUCAAGAAUCACAUUUGAAACAUGGCCAGUUAAGAGGCUUGGGGUUUUCAUGCACAACGCUUGCAAGAAGAACAAAAGACUACUUCAAAAUGAUUCGUAAGUUCAACACAGGAUCUGUCAAUAGAAAUACUAGAUGAUCGCCUAACCCCAUGAAGAAAAAGGGACAGGAAAUUGGCAGCUGGCUCUAUGAAAUCUGCCUUCCUUUUGUAAGCCUUGAGGAAAUCUUAGGAAGUGUUCAGAAGUUAUGAGCUAGGUCAAAAGCAGUAUAAACACUGUAUUGGCUUUCAAGCACUUGUUCUAGGGUAGUCCACUCAAAGAUGAGAAAACUAGAAAGAGUAAUGAUGUAAUGAACAUAUUCUAAAACAAAAAAGAACAUUUGCAGAGCAGAGAUGUAUUAAAACAAUGUACUAUAUAAAAUAGAAAAUUAUUUUAAAUAAAUAUGCACCUACAUGUGUUAUUAAUAAAACAACAAACAGUCUCGGUUUGGUUUUAAGUGAGCCUAAUUAAAUUGCACUCUUCUUUUCUUUCUUCAUCUAGAAACAAUUGAGAAGCAGACACAGAAGUCAAACUUUUUCAAUAAGCUAAAUUGGAAGAAAGGGCUUAGCACACGGUGUUUCCUAAUCUUUCCUGCCAACCAUUUAUUUAAGCUCAGAUCUUGGGAAGCCCAUCUAAGGGCUUCCAAAGAGAAAAUGCUACUUAUCAAGAAUCAUGCCUUUCCUGUUGCAGAGUAGAAGUAAACAAAAUCAAGAAAUCUCCAAUGCUCACACAAUUUUAACAGGUUUGGCCAAUACAACAGAGACGUGAAAACCAACAGAUGUCCCCCACCAAUCCAGGAAUGAGUGAAUUCUUGCUCUAUCAGGACCUGUGAGACUUCCCUCAAGAGCUGGUUGUUAAAAAGAGCCUAGGACCUCUUCCCUCUCUUGCUUCCUCUCUUGCCUUGUGAUCUUCACAUCCUGACUCUCCUUCACCUUCCACUCUGAGUGGAAGUUUCCUGAGGCUCUCGCAAGAAGCAGAUAUCGGCACCAUGCUUCUUUUACAGUCUUCAUAGUCCUGAGAACAAAAUCUAAAUCCUAGGAUUCCUUGACAUUCUGUUACUGAGAGUCUGCAGUCUCAAGACUUUAAGGAUAAUAGUUCCAAAGGAAUGUUAUCUGUACGUUUUUUCUGAGUAAACACUUCCAUUUCAAGCAAAACAUUUGGGAUUCUAUUUGUUGGCUGUUUCUCCAGCUUCCAUUUCCC
rnacentral:lncRNA from 1 species